rnacentral:rRNA from 1 species
GUGAAUGCUGGCGAUGUGGAUGAGUCAUGCAAGUCGAGCGAUGCAGCAAUGCAUAGCGGCAGACGAGGUAGUAACACGUAGGGACGUACCCCGGAGUUUGGCAUAGCCAGCCGAAAGGCUGGGUAAUUCCAAAUGGCCUGGCGACAGUAAAGGAGCAAUCCGCUCCGGGAGCGACCUGCGCAGUAUCAGCUAGUUGGUAGGGUAACGGCCUACCAAGGCGACGACGCUUAGGGGAGCUGAGAGGCUGACCCCCACCGAUCGGACUGAGACACGGCCGAUACUCCUACGGGAGGCUGCAGACGAGAAUAUUCCGCAAUGGGCGAAAGCCUGACGGAGCGACAUCGCGUGAUGGAUGAAGUGCUUCGGUACGUAAACAUCUUUUAUCGGGGACGAAAUAACUGACGGUACCCGAUGAAUAAGGGGCUGCUAACUCUGU